UAGCGUAUAUUAAAGUUGUUGCAGUUAGAACGCUCGUAGUCGGAUUUCGGGGCGGGUCGACCGGUCUGCCGAUGGGUACGUACUGGUCGACGCGUCCUUCCUUCUGGAGACCGUGCCUACUCUUAACUGAGCGGGGGCGGGAGACAGAACUUUUACUUUGAAAAAAUCAGAGUGUUUCAAGCAGGCAGCUCGCUCUUGCAUGGAUUAGCAUGGGAUAAUAAAAUAGGACUUUGGUGCUAUUUUGUUGGUUUCGAACACCGAAGUAAUGAUGAGAAGGGACAGUCAGGGGCACUCGUAUUCCGCCGAGAGAGGUGAAAUUCUCAGACCAGCGGAAGACGAACCACUGCGAAAGCAUUUG
rnacentral:rRNA from 1 species